UCAUGAUUGUUUUUGAAUGUUUUUAUUUUCUGAUGGCAUCUUUCCAAAAUGCAUGGUGUUUGCCUCAAUUAGUUGUCUUGUGUGGCCACUGGCCAAAUGACGCGUUAUCACUACUAAAUCCUUGCAGAGUUUGCCCUAACUUCUGGUGUUAUUCUUCAGUUUCUAAUACUGGGCCAGAAUUCCAGAUACAUCAUGAUUGUUUUUGAAUGUUUUUAUUUUCUGAUGGCAUCUUUCCAAAAUCCAUGGUGUUUGCCUCAAUUAGUUGUCUUGUGUGGCCACUGGCCAGAUGACGCGUUAUCACUACUAAAUCCUUGCAGAGUUUGCCCUAACUUCUGGUGUUAUUCUUCAGUUUCUAAUACUGGGCCAGAAUUCCAGAUACAUCAUGAUUGUUUUUGAAUGUUUUUAUUUUCUGAUGGCAUCUUUCCAAAAUUCAUGGUGUUUGCUUAUUUCUCUUACUAGUUCUCAGUUAGUUCCCUUUUCUUUUUGAGUUGUAAUUUUGUCUGCUGUGAAAUUAAUGUCUGAAAAAUAUUGUUGUUACUAACUACAUAAUAUUUUGGUUUUCAGGCAGUCUCGUAAGGAUAAACUUAAACUAAAUAGGUAUUAACUUUGUGUCUGUGAUUUAAUUUUUUGUAACAAUAUUAAGGUGGACUUACAAAAUAAUUCACAAUGUCAAUGAAAAAACUUGUAGAACAAAAGGUCAAACGGGAUACGCCAAAAGACGAUAAUAUAACAGCGAAGAAACCUGACGAAAAGCUUAAAAAAAGCAUCUACAGUGUUUCAACGCCACGCAAUUUCAUACAAAAGUCUUCAGCCGCUGAUAUCUAUGCCAGCAAAGGUAGUGUAACCAACGUCAAAGCUCUAAAGAAAACAUCGACACCUAAUAGAUCAAGUAACAAUGAAUCCCCAACGAAAGAUUUGCUAAAAUCGUCGCCUUCAACCGUCAGCCAAAUAAGUACAAAAAGUCAUAGGCUAAAUAAAUCUAUAACUGAUUCAAAGACACGUAGCUCCGCAAGGUAUACUGAAAAACCUAAUAAUGUAACUGCGUCUUCUAAAAAUAUGGGUGUUGCUAAAAAGUUACCAUUUACAAAUGUCACUGUUAACUCCCCUAUAGCUAAAAAGAAGCUAAAUGUAGAUAAUGAAAGAGUUAACACGAAGAAAAAUAAAAGAAUUGAUGAAAUUUCAAAAGCCACAAGUGAUAUUGUCGAUAGAGAUGACAAUAGAACCAAAGAAAAGAAAAUAACAAAAGAAGUGGUUAAGAGAAAAGAAAUCAUCAGUAACAAAGUUGUCUUACCUGAACGCAGACGCACUAAAACAAGAACGUUAGAAGAGGAAGAAAUUAAAAUUCUGACACCUGAUGUAGUUGAUAACAACCUUGAGAUGUUGAAUUUGGCUAAACAACUAACCGCGCAACCAAAAGCGUUUUACGUUGGAUUGAAUGAGGAAAAUCUUAAGCCGAAACUAGUACCAAACGAAAAACCACAAGAAAGUGACGAAGAAGUCAGUUACGAAGAUGAUUUCGAAAGUUACGAAUCGGAUUUCGAUUCGUAUCAAAGUGAUCAUACAAGUAGCGCUGAAGAGGAUCGUAAUUGUCGAAGUAUUGAUAAGGAUCAUGAUAGCCGAAGUAAUGAUUCCAAUGAUAGCAAUUUACAAGAGAGUGACGAAAUUCAUUCAAAAGAGGAAAGGAUGCUUGAUUCUGGCAAUUUCGAACUGCGCGAUCCACGAUCAGUGAGCAAACCUAAACCAUUGGACUAUAUUCUGGAGAAUUCUCAGGAAACCGACAAAAAGAUUUCUUUGACUGAUGAGGGUUUCCAGGAAAUGUCCAGCUCUAGCGGUCUAUCUAGCAUGAAAACUGUACAUAUUGAUAUUCUGGACAGACCACUAUUCAUAGAUUUUACGAAAUCAAAAGAGAAUCGACGAAAGAAAAAAAUAUUUGAGAGGCUAAAGCAACGAGCACAGGAUAUACUCAGCAUGGUAACACUGCACGAAAUGUCCUACGAUUUAUACGAGAUGAAACCUAUACCAUAUGAUUUGUACAUGGCCACAUUUGGUAGGUAUAAUUAUACACAAACUGCUGUACAGACCUUUGACGAUGGUGUCACUGAAGAGGUUCAAACUGACGAUAUACUUGUAAAAGAUAAAUGGACGCAAAAUCCAAUAGAAUUCUCUAAUAAUUAUUUUAAUAAUGAGGAAAAUAGUAUUAAAAAGAAGGACAGCGUGGAUAAUUUUGCAUUUCUUAUUAAUAAUGAUCAAGAUGAUACAAACAAUAUAAUUGAUGAAAAUUACAAAAGUAAUCCGUUGAGAAUAUAUUUGGAACAAAAAGAUGGAGUCGGUUCAAACGAAAUAUCGCCGUAUGAGAACUAUAAAUCCAAACUAAACCACGAUAAAUAUGACGUGAAGAAACUAAGGGCGUUUCUCAAAAAAUUCGAAAGUAGAAUAAGUAAUGUAUUGAGUAUCAACUCGGGCAAUACUAUGACGAAUUUAAAUAAAACGUCAAAGUUUCCUUUCAGUAACGAAUAUCUAUUAAUUACAACAAGAGAAGAUGAUACAUUUUUGAAUAACUCUCAAAUUAUCGCUGCCAUAUUUUCUGACACUACAACUAAUUUGCUUAUAACAGUACAUAAUAAAUCUUCAAAUGGGUUUAAAAAAUGUGUUUUAUGUCUGUGGGAUUUAAGUGUUGCCAUAUUGAAGCCGUUGAAAGUAUUAAUUGCAACAGAUAAUGUCAAAAUUGGAUUAUUUAGGGGAAGCACGGAUGGUAUUCUUGUUGGAGCGUUGUAUGAUGGAACCAUUCUACUUUGGGAUCUCACAGAAGAGCCUAAUUGGUGUAACGAUGUUGUUAACGAAGAAAAUACCGCUAAAAUGACACAAACCAAAUCGAAAAUCAAUUGUGAAACGGGAACUUAUAUUCGUGACGUCCACAACUUAAAGCAACACACACUGCAAGCGUGUGCAUAUACAAGCAGCGGUCUGAAUGUGUGCAACAACGAACAGGCAGACACCAUCGUUGGUUUGGAAUUUAUGGGAGAGAAUACCACCUGGGACUAUGACCGCAAGAUACUUGCUCAGCUAUGCGCCCUCCAAAGCACUGGAAUUCUGACGAUAUGGUCGAUAAUACAAGAGAAAACGAAAAAUUUAAAACACGACAUAGGAAAAGCGUUGUGGUCCAAAAUGAAACUGGAAAGAAAUCAAACCAUCAAUUUACUGCAACACAUAGACUUUCCGAUUGAUUUAGAAAUGACAGAUUUAACAUUCAAUUUAAAUUCAGCCAAGAAACGGAUGUCUAAGAAACGAAAUGAGAGAAACAGAUGCAAAAUUGUCCGCCCAAAGUCCGCCAUUUUGAAUGCCAAAUGUCAAGAAGACAGUUCGAAUGUUGCCAGUAAAAGAAAUAUGGUAGAAAAUAACAAUACAUGGGAGAAUGGUGUUACAUGCAACCAUUUGAAAGUUAUGAAUUUGAAUGGUGUUGAAAAUUAUUUGGUUGCGAAAAAUGCUGGUGAAGUGUUGUGCUGCAGGAGGUAUAUCGGCAGCGUCAAAAUCAAAACAUUCUGUGUUGCAAGAAUGGUCCAACAACAGCAGUAGAAAAAUAUCAAUCCGACCAUAAGGGCAGAUACUUGGGCAGCGCUACAAUCACCAAUCAUGAUGCUGAAAGUUUUACAGAUGCUAAGCUACCAAUAACAACCGUAACCUGGUUACACCCGAACCCGUUCUGCAUCAUGGCAACCUUGGGCACCAGCGUGGUUGUAUGGGAGCUAACCCACAGCGACAUACGAGCCAAAUGUAGAAGCGAUGGAGUUG